rnacentral:rRNA from 1 species
AUUGAACGCUGGCGGCAGGCCUAACACAUGCAAGUCGAGCGGAUGAAGGGAGCUUGCUCCUGGAUUCAGCGGCGGACGGGUGAGUAAUGCCUAGGAAUCUGCCUGGUAGUGGGGGAUAACGUCCGGAAACGGGCGCUAAUACCGCAUACGUCCUGAGGGAGAAAGUGGGGGAUCUUCGGACCUCACGCUAUCAGAUGAGCCUAGGUCGGAUUAGCUAGUUGGUGGGGUAAAGGCCUACCAAGGCGACGAUCCGUAACUGGUCUGAGAGGAUGAUCAGUCACACUGGAACUGAGACACGGUCCAGACUCCUACGGGAGGCAGCAGUGGGGAAUAUUGGACAAAGGGCGAAAGCCUGAUCCAGCCAUGCCGCGUGUGUGAAGAAGGUCUUCGGAUUGUAAAGCACUUUAAGUUGGGAGGAAGGGCAGUAAGUUAAUACCUUGCUGUUUUGACGUUACCAACAGAAUAAGCACCGGCUGACUUCGUG